rnacentral:tRNA from 1 species
GGAGAGAUGCCAGAGUUGGUCGAUUGGGACGGACUCGAAAUCCGUAGACUCCGCAAGGGGUCCGAGGGUUCGAAUCCCUCUCUCUCCU